UUUCUUCAAGAGCAACGUCCAACUCUUGCUGACAUAAGACAUCCAACACCUCACAUUGCCACAUACCAAAAUUAUUGGUACCAUCAAAUUUCUCCACUUCAAACUUUACAUUAGUCACAGUAGUCCUCGUUGAUGAAGACGACGACGAUGCCUCUGCCAUCCUUUUUAUUUCAAAUGAUCAGUUUCUUCAACAACUAUUUACAGUUAAAAAA
rnacentral:lncRNA from 1 species